rnacentral:lncRNA from 1 species
CUGUGAACCCCUGAAUAUCUCUCAAUCAGCUCUCAAUAACUGCUCAGUCAUCAAUGAAUAUUGUGGACUGAGACUUGAUGAAAGUUGUCCACUGAGCUUUCCUUUUCUGAGGAUCUCUAGUUUUCCAUCUAUCUUACUAACUUGUUCCUGAACUCCAAUAUUCAAGCUAGCUAGCUCAGGAGUAGGGACCAAACCAGCAGCUGGCCUGGAAGAAGGGGGGUCAGCCUGCUGAUCAAUACGGCUUCCCACUCACCCACUUUCCUUACCUGACACACUUACCUCUCCCUUUCCUGUGUAUAAAGUGUCUACUACUUAGAAUUAGUUCUGACUAGUAUCUAGAAACUAAGAAGCAGGGCUGAAGAUUUGGGGAGAACCAUACCUUUCCCUAAAAGGGAGGAUUAGCUGAGGAUUCCAGGGAUCCAAACAAUCAGACUCAAGAAGCAGUCAGCUCUCCAGAGCUGUGGAAUAAUCCAAGGGGGGUGGGGGGGAGAAGUGGCAGUUGGUGUACCUGAAGGAUCCAGAGGCAGAAGAGUUAGUCCUACCUCUCAACAAUAGAUGGGACCAAAAAAGGAAGUUAUUGCUGACCAGAUCAAAGCCUUCUCACUGGAUGCUCAAUGACCAAGAUCUGACUACAUCUAUCCAAACAGGAAACAUGGAACUUCCUAAUAGCUCCAAUGAGUACUUAUUAAUAUUGAAUUCUUGUCCUUAACAAUGAAUAUCUCUUGUAACAAUCUUAGAUUAAAGCAUAGUAUACAUUAAAAAAAAAACUUAAAGGAAAAUUACUCAUAUUUUUUAAUGUUUUGACUUUCUUUUAUACAUAACUUAAAAUACCCCAGGAUUUAAUUUGAUCUGUGUCUGGAAAAGAGCAACUCCUGGGUUCCAAUAUUUAAAAGUAGGAAUGUAUAUUCUAAGAUCUAAAAUAUUUGCUCUCUUUUGUUCAUUUAUCUUAUAAAAUAUAUGGAGCACUUCAUGCCUUUGUAAGUCAUCCUUGCACAGGUGCCAUGUUACACUUUUUCAUAUUGUUCUAUUUUUUAAGUAUAUUGCUCUGAAUCAAACAAUUACAUUCAUUUAGAUCAAUAAUUGAAACAUAUAUGAAUAAAACUAUCCUUUACCUAAACUCCUACUCA